UACGUAGGGACCAAGCGUUGUUCGGAUUUACGUGGCGUAAAGGGCGCGUAGGCGGCGUGUUAAGUCAGCCGUGUGAAAUCUCCGAGCCUUAACUCGGAACGGUCGAGCGUGAUACUGAUGUGCGUAGAGUGCAGAGGGGGCAAUCGGGAAUUCUUGGAUGUAGCGGUGAAAUGACGUAGAUAUCAAGAGGAACACCUGAGGUGAAGACGGGUUGCUGGGCGUGACACAUGACGCUGGAGGCGACGGAAAGCCCAGGGGAGGCAAACGGG
rnacentral:rRNA from 1 species